GUCAAAACAAUGUUUACAAUAUGACCUUGUGUUUUAAUACAUAUAUAUUUUGAGACUUAAGAUAAAUUCCAAAUUGUUCGUAGUAGAAUAACAGGUGAUUAUUAUUUUCUUCUAUGUUGCUUAUCUCUGUUGUCUUAAUGUUUGAUGGAAAAAAUAAGUGUAUUGCUUUCAAAAUAAGAGGGAAAAAAAGUAGUCUGGAAAAUUGUUUUCAUUGCACAUCUGUGGGAGUUGAAAAUUGAGCCUAGAGCUUAUAAGACAUUCUUGUAUUCAUGCAUCUCAACAAAUAAUACUUAUGGCCUCUAAGGUAAGCUAGCCCUGUGGCACUGCAGAAAAACCAAAGACCCACUACCUGCCCUCUGACAACUUAUAGUUCUGCCACCCAAACAAGAGAAAACUUCAAUCGCUGCCUUUGAGGUGAGAAUUGAGGGCUCAUCUCUGCCAAGGACCUCUGAGGCUUCCACAGCUCCUUGGACUGAGGUUGGAGCCAGCACUGCCUCCUGUGCCCUGAGGGUCCCAGGGGAUCAGGGUGUGGCUGAAGUAGUCUGGGCCUGCAGCUACUUCCUCAGGUCCACUCUCCCACCCGGACUGCCUGUCCCAUUGCCCUUGGACACCCACCUCGUCACACUCUUCUGUUUCUCCCCUUCCCAUCCUCUCUGUCCGGUUUCUUCCAGGCCACCUCCAAAGAGACCUGCUGCUCCACCCCCAAUCUGUUGCUUGUGCCUUACUAGAGGUUUCUGCCCUUUUCAGCGCCACAUCCCAGGAAAGGAAGAAACAUGCUCCAGGGCUGGAAGUUCGUCUUUGAGGGGAGGAAGUUCCCUGGAGUCUGCAGCAGAUGGGGGAGGCCCCAGUGGGGCGCACGUGGAUGCAUUUCUGGGAGGAAACCAAGUACCAUCCGCUCUCGCUCGCUCCCAUCCAGUGUUUUCUUCCCCCAGCUUGGGAGAAUUUAAAGAGAUGACCCACAGGAAAAGCAUCUACCACACGGUGCAGGCUGUUGAUUAGGAAACGCAGCCUCCCUUGAGUUUCUGUGUGGGUGAACCUGGCUCCUGGGGCCCCGGGUGGGGGUGCCAGGCUUCAGAAUCUGCACACUGCUUCACCACCCCCGCAGCCUGUGAUCCCAAGCCAGGCCCUCUGAUCCGGCAGCUGUCAACACAAGCACACUCCAGUGCUUUCUGCUUUGCUGUUGGCCUCCCUCGGGAAGCUUUGAACACUACUGAGAUCAUCAUUGUCAAACUCUCUGGGCUCUGGUGCAAGGGCAGUCAGAUAAGGAGGAAUAUGACGUGCCAACCCUCCUCUUUGGUCCCCAGCCCCCAGCCUCACCCUGCUGACCUCUGGCUCCUGCUUAGCUCAGAAACUGUGGGCUCAGAACAAAGUUUGAGGUUCUGCUUCUCUGAUUCACCCCUUUCUCCUUCCUGAUUACUGGCAUGGAGCCAGGCACUGCAGGACAGAAAUCAGGACUCAGGUUUCUCAACUGGAAAAUGGGGAUUUUAAAAAAAAUCCAUGCCUAACUCCCAAGGCUGUCACGAGAAUGGAUUAAGGCAAAAGCUGUGAAAGUGCUUUACAAAUGAGAAAGCCUCCUAUUCUUCACUUUCUUCUGAUGGCAAAUCCCCAGCUCUCCUUCCCAAGGUUCUUGCUCUCCCGGCACAAUGUACCCUGAGCACUACACAUGCCUGUCCACCUUUGCUUCAUGAAGAACCAUGAUAUGUCGCCAUUCAAAAUCCAAAUAAAGCCUCACGAGUGAAUCUACUUAUGGGAGACAGAAUAAAGCAAUGGCUAAGAGCUCUAGCAAGAGUAAAAAAUCAAGUCUCCAAUUUUUAGCUCUACCACUUACUAACAGUGUUAACUUUGAACAAUCAUUUUACCUCUCUAAGCCUCAGUUUCCCCAUCUAUAAAGUAGGAUAAUAAUAAUACCUGUCUUAUCAGGUAGAUAAUGUAUAUGUAACAUUCCUUUCUUAUCAGGUAGAUAAUGUAUAUGUAGCACUAGGGACAUAUUAAAUACCCAAUAAAUGGCUACUGUUGUUAUCUCCUCUUGUUUUAGUCUCGAC
rnacentral:lncRNA from 10 species